GAUGAACGCUAGCUACAGGCUUAACACAUGCAAGUCGAGGGGUAACGAGAGGAAAGCUUGCUUUCCUUGUCGACGACCGGCGCACGGGUGAGUAACGCGUAUCCAACCUGCCCCCAACUAGGGAAUAACCUUGCGAAAGUAAGACUAAUACCCUAUAAUUUCCUCAGAUUGCAUCUGACGAGGAAUAAAGAUUUAUCGGUUGUGGAUGGGGAUGCGUCUGAUUAGCUUGUUGGAGGGGUAACGGCCCACCAAGGCAACGAUCAGUAGGGGUUGUGAGAGGAAGGUCCCCCACAUUGGAACUGAGACGCGGUCCAAACUCCUACGGAGGCAGCAGUGAGGAAUAUUGGUCAAUGGGCGGAAGCCUGAACCAGCCAAGUAGCGUGCAGGAUGACGGCCCUAUGGGUUGUAAACUGCUUUUAUACGGGAAUAAAGUUAGCCACGUGUGGUUAUUUGUAGGUACUGUAUGAAUAAGGACCGGCUAAUUCCGUGCCAGCCGCCGCGGUAA
rnacentral:rRNA from 1 species